ensembl:lncRNA
AUGCCCAGCCUGACGCACAGCGCAAAAUGCCACCAAACACUGCAGGUGCCUCCUUCUUUUGAGGGCCUUCAGCCCACAAAGGGCAUGCCAUUCGGCUCAGGCCAAUUCCUCGCAACCACGACGCCGAGAAGGCCGCCCCAGCUUUCCGAAAAGCCAGGCAACUUCUUGGCAAGGCCGGAAAAGCUCCAGGUGGGGAGGAGGGCGAAAUUCCGGUCAGGCCUGGGAAUGGGGACCGCCCCCAAAGAAGAGGGAGAGCCAACGCCCCUGGCCUCGCGACCCCCACCGGAGACGGAGGCCCUCCCACCCACAAGAAGAGACCCAGCAGCAACGCGCGCAGCCCCACUUCCAGCAGCAGGGCCAGGCCGCGCGCGGGACCGGCCACAUCCUACACGCGCCCUCGCUCGCGUCCCGGGGGGGAAGGAGGGCGGAGCCUCGCUCGCUUUUUCUCUCCCUCCCUUUCAGAGGCGGGCAGCGGAGUCCAAACGAAGCGAGUCCUCCCGGCUGAAGUGGGAGAGGAAGAGCGCGGGAGGCGCCGUUCGUUGGUUCCUUGCGUUAACCCGCUUUGGGGAGGGUGGCGAGGGGACAAGAACUCCAGAACCAUUUGCUGUGCUGGAUUCUCAACCUUUAUCUACAGUUCUAACAGAUUCUGCAUGAUCUCUUCCUCCGAAUGAGUUAGAAAAAUGCUCUCUACAACCAUCUUUGGAAACUCACCAUGGAGGUAUGUUUGCAAAUGCAUUCUUUUUAUAGCAGAAACAGUUUUUUCAUUUCUUUGAGCAGCUUCAGAUGGCAAGUGAGAAGCUUGAUUUCUUUGAAAAGCUGAUUGGCACCCUGGGAGAAAGUCAUUGUAAGUAUUCAUUUGAUUCUCCAGAUGAUUUUACUUGUUUAUUUCUGAACUCCUAAACUGCACACAACCUCCAGCCAGAAUGGAAAGCUGUAUUCAUAUUAUCUGAGGAUGAAAAAGAAUUGUAGUCCAGCAUAUCCAGGGAGGAAGGCUGCUAAAAUGCUGCUUAAGCACUGCAAAGACUGAAUAGUCUUGGGAGUAAUUUACCCCUCAAUAGGAAAUUAUUCCUGGUGGGCUUCUCUGGAGGUGUGUUCUUUAGAAAGGCAAGUCUCUCUCUGCUCUAGGAUUGAUCUCUCUUGAAAUUUAUAAUGGGAGGAGGGGUACUUUAAAUGCCAAGUAUAGCCAAUGUCUCAGAGGAUCUGCCAUCUCUGAUCUGCCAUCUCUGAACCAUUCAUGAUGCAUUUGUUAGUUGAAUAUGUUUUCUAGAGGGAUGUUCUGAUACAGUGGAAAGAAAACCUCACCAGCCCAUCACAGACUUGAGGGCAGAAGCUGUGCUUUUUGUAAAGAGAGAAGGAAGAAUAAAUUAUAUCCCUUAACAUUAGUUUUAAAACUAGGACUAUACAAUCAUUACUCAGGAGUCUCUGCAGGUCUUUUAUGUGAAGUGCAUAUGCCUCUGAAUAGAAUUCUAGCAAAGUCAGAUUGAUACAAUAUGAUGUCAGCCCAACAAGCUAGACCAGACUAAGAAAUCAAUGCUGUAUAGAUCAGGAUCUUUUAUUGUAACAGUUAUAGUAACUGACCAUGUUGACAAAAAAGCUGGAACACUCAGUCACAUCUUUCAUUAACCUUGAUCUUUCAGAAAAAUCUUAAGCUUUCAUUAAUCAGCAAGCAUAUGUUUGUGCUAUGGAAACUUUUUCCUCAGUAAAUAAAAU